UUCUGCAUACACACUGUUAUUCUGCAUGGACAAUGUAGGCAUGUUUAUAAAGAACACUGAUCCUUGUUAACUGGGUGUAGAGUGAAUUACAUGUGGAC
rnacentral:miRNA from 1 species